AGCUGUACCUGAAACCAAGCA
rnacentral:miRNA from 1 species